UUGACGGGGACCCGCACAAGCGGUGGAGCAUGUGGUUUUAAUACGACGCUACCGCGUGGAACCUUACCAAGGCUUGACAUGUAUUUGAAAUCCUGGUGAAAGCCAGGACCUGUCCUAAAGACACAAUUACACAGGUGUUGCAUGGCUGUCGUCAGCUCGUGUCGUGAGAUGUUGGGUUAAGUCCCGCAACGAGCGCAACCCCCGUGUUUAGUUGCUAAUCCGCAAGGAUGCACUCUAGACAGACUGCCAGUGUUUAACUGGAGGAAGGUGGGGACGACGUCAAGUCAGUACGGCCCUUAUGCCUUGGGCUACACACGUGCUACAAUCCCCGCUACAAAGAGACGCAAAGCCGUAAGGUGGAGCAAAUCUCAAAAAAGCGGGGCCAGUUCAGAUUGAGGGCUGCAAUUCGCCCUCAUGAAGCCGGAAUCGCUAGUAAUCGCGCAUCAGACACGGCGCGAUGAAUACGUUCCCGGGUCUUGUACACACCGCCCGUCAAGCCACCUGAAUUGAUUGCACCCGAAACCGUUUCUCCUGACUCGCAAGAGAGGGAGGCGACUAAGGUGUGGUUAGUGAGGAGGGCUAAGUCGUAACAAGGUAACCGUA
rnacentral:rRNA from 1 species